CCUACGGGAGGCAGCAGUGAGGAAUAUUGGUCAAUGGGCUUACGCCUGAACCAGCCAAGUCGCGUGAGGGAAGACUGCCCUAUGGGUUGUAAACCUCUUUUGUCAGGGAGCAACGCCGGCUACGUGUAGCCGGACUGAGAGUACCUGAAGAAAAAGCAUCCGCUAACUCCGUGCCAGCAGCCGCGGUAAUACGGAGGAUGCGAGCGUAAUCCGGAUUUAUUGGGUUAAAAGGGUGCGUAGGCGGAAUGCCAAGUCAGCGGUAAAAUCGCGGGGCUCAACCUCGCUCCGCCGUUGAAACUGGCGUUCUUGAGUGGGCGAGAAGUAUGCGGAAUGCGUGGUGUAGCGGUGAAAUGCAUAGAUAUCACGCAGAACUCCGAUUGCGAAGGCAGCAUACCGGCGCCCAACUGACGCUGAAGCACGAAAGCGUGGGGAUCGAACAGGAUUAGAUACCCGAGUAGUC
rnacentral:rRNA from 1 species